GUUUCCCUAUCCCUUUGUUGUCUGCUCUGCUGCUGAAGUUAGGUUUUUUAAAAAUUAAAGCAAUCCCUUCGAUGUCUCGAUUAUUCUUUAGAAUUGAAGUUGCUUUAUUUUGGUUUUACUUUGGAGAAAUUAUCCCCACAGUGGAGGGAAGGGAUGCCACCCAGACAGACCUUGACAGGCUUGAGAGGUGGGCUUGUGUGAAUUUCACAAAGUUCAACAAGGCCAAGUACAAGGUGCUGCACCUGGGCAGGGGAAAUCCCAAGUACAAGUACAGGCUGGGCAGAGAAUGGAUAGAGACUAGUCCUGGCAAGAAUGGCUUGUUGGUGUUUGUGGAUGAAAAGUUCAAUAUGACUCGGUAAUGUGCACUUGCAGCCUAGAAGGCCAACCACAUCCUGGACUGCAUCAAAAGAGGUGUGACCAGCAGGUUUAGGUUGGUGAUUCUGCCCCUCUACUCUUUUCUUAUGACAUCCUACCUGGAGUGCUGUGUCCAGCUCUGGAAUGCCCAACACAAUAAAGACAUCAACCUGCUGGAGCAAGUCCAGAGGAGAGCCAUCAAGUUGAUAACAGGACUGGAUCAUGUCUCCUAUGAAGACAGGCUGAGAGAGCUGUGGUUGUUAACCCUGGAGAAGAGAAGGUUCUUGGGAGACCUUAUAGCAGCUUUCCAGUACCUAAAGCUGUUUUUACAAGACAAGCAUGUACAGGGAAUGCUUGGAGAGUCAGUAAGAGCGUUGGGAGCAAUGUGAGGGCAACUCUGAGUUUUGCGAAAUGGAGUCUGUCUGCUAACCAUCCUUCAAGCUAUUUAGCAAAUACAGAUGACUAUAGAGUGUGGGCAGAGAUGGUCCUUAUCAAUAAAUAAUUGGAGGAUGCACCACCACAGACUGAGACCCAAAGGUUUCCUGAGAGGAAUCAGCACUCUAAGUAUUCUUCUGACAAUGCAACAGUCACAGUGAUAACCUGACUUUGCACGACAACAUGGUGACAGAUUUCCAAACCCAGGAAAGGGAGACUUAAAAUCCGAGCUCUACUUGAGACUGAGGGUCAUCAACCCCAUAGCUCCCAUUUCCCUGGGAGGUUCCCACUGUGUGGGUUAAACACCAGGAGAUGUUCCCUGUCUUCGCUGAAAUUGUGCCUUCUUGUCCCACUACAAGCUUAUGUGUAAGACUCACAGCACCAGAGAACACACAGGGAACCUGCCCGUGCCACACAAAAGAAGAGGAGGAGGUCUGGUUCGUGAUUGCUGUCAUUCAACUGUCCCCAUCAAUUCAAAAGAAAAAUAUGAAGUCUCCUGGAGCAGGAAGCAGAUUAUCUUGAAAGAGUCUCCUCCUCACAGUUGGUAUAGAGGAAUUAAUCUAAUCAAUUCCUUGAUUAGAUCUUGAUCAAAAAAUUCGAAGGAAAAAAAUUAAUUUCUACAGCACACACUGAAAAGACCACAAAAUAGUUACCAGAAAGCUUCAUUGAAAAAUGUGCUGAGUUGCAGUGGGCUCCAGUAAUAAAAUCAGGACUGGCUGUUUUCCUUGGGGA